rnacentral:rRNA from 1 species
UCCCCGAAAGCUAUUUAGGUAGCGCCUCGUGAAUUCAUCUCCGGGGGUAGAGCACUGUUUCGGCAAGGGGGUCAUCCCGACUUACCAACCCGAUGCAAACUGCGAAUACCGGAGAAUGUUAUCACGGGAGACACACGGCGGGUGCUAACGUCCGUCGUGAAGAGGGAAACAACCCAGACCGCCAGCUAAGGUCCCAAAGUCAUGGUUAAGUGGGAAACGAUGUGGGAAGGCCCAGACAGCCAGGAUGUUGGCUUAGAAGCAGCCAUCAUUUAAAGAAAGCGUAAUAGCUCACUGGUCGAGUCGGCCUGCGCGGAAGAUGUAACGGGGCUAAACCAUGCACCGAAGCUGCGGCAGCGACGCUGAUGCGUUGUUGGGUAGGGGAGCGUUCUGUAAGCCUGCGAAGGUGUGCUGUGAGGCAUGCUGGAGGUAUCAGAAGUGCGAAUGCUGACAUAAGUAACGAUAAAGCGGGUGAAAAGCCCGCUCGCCGGAAGACCAAGGGUUCCUGUCCAACGUUAAUCGGGGCAGGGUGAGUCGACCCCUAAGGCGAGGCCGAAAGGCGUAGUCGAUGGGAAACAGGUUAAUAUUCCUGUACUUGGUGUUACUGCGAAGGGGGGACGGAGAAGGCUAUGUUGGCCGGGCGACGGUUGUCCCGGUUUAAGCGUGUAGGCUGGUUUUCCAGGCAAAUCCGGAAAAUCAAGGCUGAGGCGUGAUGACGAGGCACUACGGUGCUGAAGCAACAAAUGCCCUGCUUCCAGGAAAAGCCUCUAAGCAUCAGGUAACAUCAAAUCGUACCCCAAACCGACACAGGUGGUCAGGUAGAGAAUACCAAGGCGCUUGAGAGAACUCGGGUGAAGGAACUAGGCAAAAUGGUGCCGUAACUUCGGGAGAAGGCACGC